rnacentral:rRNA from 1 species
AUACGUAGGGGGCGAGCGUUGUCCGGAAUGAUUGGGCGUAAAGGGCGCGUAGGCGGCCCGGUAAGUCUGGAGUGAAAGUCCUGUUUUUAAGAUGGGAAUUGCUUUGGAUACUGUCGGGCUCGAGGGCAGGAGAGGUAAGUGGAAUUCCCAGUGUAGCGGUGAAAUGCGUAGAGAUUGGGAGGAAAACCAGUGGCGAAGGCGACUUACUGGACUGUAACUGACGCUGAGGCGCGAAAGUGUGGGGAGCAAACAGGAUUAGAUCCCCUGGUAGUCCACGCCGUAAACGAUGAAUACUAGGUGUAGGGGUUGUCAUGACCUCUGUGCCGCCGCUAACGCAUUAAGUAUUCCGCCUGGGGAGUACGGUCGCAAGAUUAAAACUCAAAGGAAUUGGCGGGG